rnacentral:rRNA from 1 species
GACGAAGGUGGCGAGCGUUGUUCGGAAUCACUGGGCUUAAAGAGCACGUAGGCGGGCCGCCUUGCGUCCUGUGAAAUCCCCCGGCUCAACCGGGGAAUGGCAGGGCGAACGGGCGGUCUUGAGGCAGGUAGAGGUGUGGGGAACUCUUGGUGGAGCGGUGGAAUGCGUAGAUAUCAAGAGGAACGCCGGAGACGAAGGUGCCGCACUGGGCCUGUCCUGACGCUGAGGUGCGAAAGCCAGGGGAGCAAACGGG